ACACAAUAUGUUUUAUUGGUUAUUGUUGAAGAACAAACUAAAAACGAGAAGUAUGUUGCGUAUAAUAGGCAUGAAUUUGGAGUCAUAUACUUGUGACAACUGCAUUGGGUAGAGGGAGGAAACUCUAUACCACCUAUUCCUCAGAUGCAACUUUACAGAUGCCUGCUGGAGCUCAAUUGGGUUAACUGCCCCACGAAUCUUGAAUCCAGAGAGAGCCUCAGCUAAUCUAAAGCAGCAACUCAACACACCUUUCUUCAUGGAAGUGAUCAUCUUAAUGGCAUGGAGUAUCUGGAAAUGUAGAAAUGGAUAGAAUUUUGAAAAUAUAGCGCCAACAGUGGAGACAUGCAAAGCAAAAUUCAAGAAAGAAUUUCUCUUGGUUAUCUAGAGAGCAAGAGAAAAAUAUGAUAGCGCAAUCCUAGAAUGGCUACCUCAUAUUCCUCAUUAGAUUUGUUUUCUCCUCUCUACCUAAAAGGGAAAUAUGGUUAACCUUUUACUACAAUUAAUUUUGGUGGUUGAAUGUCCAACACAAACAUAUGGACUAACUAGUUUGCCCUAGAAUUCAUAUAUUACAGGUGCAUAAAGUUCAACACAAAACAAUAAAUAUUCAAGUUAGGGACACAAAUUUAAAGGAGCAAAAUGACAUAAGUAUGUUGUGGUCUGGCGCACCGGACUGUCCGGUGUGCCACCAGACAGUGUCCGGUGCACCAGGCCCGUACAGGGUUGAACCAGCCACUCUUGGAAAAACGCAGGCGCGCUCAGCUGUAAUUCACUGGACUGUCCGAUGUGCCACCGGACUGUCUGCUGAGCCAGCGGAGCAAUGACUAAAUCGCGCCAACGGUCGACUCUGACGGGUGAACAAUGCAGCACAGUAUCGCGACAGAAGUCAGAGGGGCACCGGACUAUCCGGCGCACCACCAGACUGUCCGGUGCCACAAGAAAACAAAGGCGCCAACGGUCAACUGCUCCAGAACCCUAACGGUUGGGUGACGUGGCGGCGCACCGGACAGCCUACAGUGCAUGUCCGGUGGCGCACCGGACUGUCCGGUGCGCCCAUCGACAUCAGCCUCCCCAACGACUACUUUAGUGGUUGAGGGCUAUAAAUACCCCCAACCACCACAACUCCAAGCAUCCAAGAUUUCUGAACAUCACAUUCAAUACAAGAGCUCUAGCAUUCACUCCUAGACACAAUUCAAAAGGUCAAAGCCUCUCCAAGUCCCAAAUUCACCUCAAAUACUUAGUGACUUGUGAGAGAGUGAUUUUUUGUUCUUUUGAGCUCUUGCCUUUUGGAUUGCCUUUCUUCUUUCUCAUUCUUGUUCUCAAGUGACUUGUAAUCAAAGCAAGAGACACCUAAGAGUGUGGUGGUCCUUGCGGGGUCUUAGUGACCCGAUUGAUUAAAGGAAAGGCUCACUCGUUCUAAGUGACCGUUUGAGAGAGGGAAAGGGUUGGAAUAGACUCGGUCUUUGUGACCUCCUCAACGGGGACUAGGUUCUUUGGAACCGAACCUCGGUAAAACAAAUCACCGUGUUCAUUCGCUUGAUUUCCUUUUGAUUUGUUUUCCCCUCUCUCCCGGACUUGAUUUUAGUUCUAACGCUAACCCCGGCUUGUAUUGUGUGUUUAAAGUUGUAAAUUUCAGAUUACGCCUAUUUACCCCUCUGAAAGUCGCCUAGAGGGGGGUCAAUAGGCGGAAUCAGAAAAUUACAACUUUAAACACGCACUACAGGCCGGGGUUAGCAUUAGAAAUGAAUUCAAGUCCGAAAGAGAGGGGAAAACAAAUCAACUAAGAAAUAAAGCGGAUGAACACGGUGAUUUGUUUUACCGAGGUUCGGUUCUAAAGAACCUAGUCCUCAUUGAGGUGGUCACAAAGACCGGGUCUCUUUCAACCCUUUUCCUCUCUCAAACGGUCACUUAGACUGAGUGAGCUUUCUUCCUUGAUUUCUCGGGUCACUUAGACCCCGCAAGGACCACCACACGAUUGGUGUCUCUUGCUUCGCUUACAAGGUUUUGAGAAUAAGAAUAAGAGAAAGAAGAAAGCCAACCAAGCAACAAGAGCAACAAAGAAACACAAGAACGAUCCUCUCACAAGUCCUAAAACACUAGAAUUGAAUUGGGGACUUUGAUUGGAUCGGUGACUUUGAUUUGUGUCUUGGAGUGUUGCACUUUGCUCUUGUAUUGAAUGAAGUGUGAUGAAUGCUUGGAUGGUUGGAGUGAAGGUGGUUGAGGGGUAUUUAUAGCCCUCAACCACCAAACAACCGUUAGGGAGGGGCUGCUGUCGAUGGGCGCACCGGACAGUCAUGUGCGCCACCGGACACUGUCCGGUGCGCCAGCCACGUCACCCAACCGUUAGGGUUCGGGCGCUAUCGACCGUUGGAGCUUUGUCUUCUAGUGGCACCAGACAGUUCGGUGCCGCACCGGACAUGUACUGUUCACUGUCCGGUGCGCCUCUGACGGCUGCUCUGACUUCUACGCGCACUGUCCACGCACUGUAGCAUUUGCAGGGGUCCGUUGCAGUCGACCAUUGCGCGAGUAGCCGUUGCUCUGCUGGUUCACCGGAUAGUCCGGUGGCCCACCGGACAGUCCGGUAAAUUAUAGCGGAGCACGCCCAGACAAACCCGAGGGUGGCGAGUUUGGAGUUGUACGGUCCUGGUGCACCGGACACUGUCCGGUGUUCUAAACCAGGGCACCCUUGGCUUCUUUGCUCCUUUCUUUUUGAACCCUAACUUUGAUCUUUUAUUGGUUUGUGUUGAACCUUUAUGCACCUGUAGAAUUUAUAAUCUAGAGCAAACUAGUUAGUCCAAUAUUUGUGUUGGGCAUUCAACCACCAAAAUUAUUAAUAGGAAAAGGUUAAACCAUAUUUCCCUUUCAAUCUCCCCCUUUUUGGUGACUGAUGCCAACUGUUGGGGACCUUCGGCAUCCGAAGGUCCUCAAAAACAGGAUUUAAUAGUGUUUCUGGAGUAUAAUGUGUGAACAGGUAUCUUCGGACUCAAGGCAGGCAUCACAGUAGACCAGAAUAAUACGAAGGUUGGUGAAGCGCCGAAGGUGAAAGCAGGAAAGCUUCGGCGAGACAGCAGCAGUUGAAACCGACUUAAAGAUGAAAAGGCUAUCUAGACCUCGACAGAUUAUUAUAGGAUUAUUAUCAAGUGUAAAGGGCAUUAAUGUAAUUUUGUACGGGCUGCGUCCCGUGCCUAUAAAUAGGUGAACAGUACUCCCGUACUGUUCACGCUGACUUGGCAUUCGCUUUUUGCGUCACACUUGUACUUUCAUCUCAUUCCGAUUAAAGGUACACUUGUAGCUCAACAAUAUUUCUGUUUAUACCUAAUAAUAAUAUAUAAUUGUCCAUGUUGUCUUUUAUAUUCUUUAUAUUUCAUUCUUCGUCAUUGUCUAAUGAAUCUAAGACGGUACGUCCUUCAUAACCUUCGUCCGUAAACCAUUAUAUCCUAAGGGAAAUAAUGCUUCGGAGGACGAAGGACCUUAACGAUUAACAUUUUCUAUGUUGCCUUGUUCUUAACUCAUAGCACUUGAGAACAAGUCCCCAACAUUGGCGCCCACCUCCGGUGAACUCACUUCCACUCUGAGUUUUUUGAACACCUUCGGCGAUCAUAAACCUUCGUUAUGGCGCCGAAGAAGGCUUCAGCGACUGGGGCUGCAGCUCUGCAACCACUGGACCACAAUCAGGAGACAGUCUCCUUGCGGGAGGCCCGAAGCCAGAAAAGGAAGGCUGUCAGCCCAACACCACCAGAGGACGAGAUAGAUCAAGAAAUCAGAGAUAUGGAAAUGCUUCAUCAACAAGUACAGAGGAAAAAGGAAAAGAUGGCCAGGCUAGCUGAACUGCAGAGGCAGAUAGACGAAGCCUCUGAAGAAGUUCGUCAUCUUGUCCAGGACGAGCAGCACCAAAGGCCUCAACAUCAAGAUCUUCAUCAGGAGGGUUUCCCCAACGAAGAUGACUGGUAUGACAAUUUCCGUCAUGGGAAUUUUGUUUUUGAUGACGCUUCUCCUCUGUCCGCUGAGCUGCAGGCUACACCGUGGCCUCCGUCUUACAAGCCGCCCCAGCUUCCUGUAUUCGAUGGCCACUCAGACCCAAAGCAGUUUUUGAUGAGCUACGAAGCAACAGUAUCUUCGUAUGGUGGCAAUGCUUCAGUCAUGGCCAAAUCUUUCGUUAUGGCUGUCAGGAGUGUGGCUCAAACCUGGUAUUCCUCCCUUCGACCAGGAACGAUCACUUCAUGGCAGAAGCUGAAGGACUUGUUGUUAACUAGCUUCCAAGGAUUUCAAACGAAGCCGGUCACUGCUCAGGCUCUGUUCCAGUGCACCCAAGAUCACGAAGAAUACCUUCAGGCAUAUGUUCGAAGGUUCUUGCGUUUGAGGGCACAGGCACCAACGGUGCCCAAUGAAAUUGUCAUUGAGGCCAUGAUCAAGGGGCUUCGGCCAGGACCGUCAGCUCAGUACUUCGCUCGGAAGCCUCCUCAAACUUUGGAGAAGCUGCUCCAGAAGAUGGACGAGUACAUUCGGGCCGAUAAUGAUUUUCGCCAAAGAAGGGAGGAGGCUUUCAGGUUUUCUGAAAUGACCAGGGGCUUCGGAGGGAGGUUCUACCCGAGGCACGUGAGAUCAAUUCAUAACUCUACACAAAAUGAUGAUAGAGGAAGCCAACAGCAAAGGCCACAAUGUUCCUCACAGGCUUCGGGGCAACAGCAAAGCUCCUUCCGACCACCAGCUCCAAGAGGCAGAGGCGCCAGGGGCUUUGGAGGAAGAUUUGGCGAUCAACCAAGAAUAAUCUUUUGCUUAUUCUGCGGUGAGAACAAAGGACAUACUACCAGGAUGUGCCAUGUUACUAUUCAGAAGCAAAAGGAAAUAGCUGAAGCAGCAGCACAACAAGCUCAGCCGAAGCAGGUCAUGCAUACAGCUUCGUAUCAUUCGCCCUACAUCCCAGAAUAUGUGGGCAAUCAUCCUGCAGUUUCUGUUGCUUCGGCAAGUCAGCCCCAAGCUUCCUGGCAACAGCCUCCGCCUCCACCUCCGUUGCAACAAGGCCAGCAGCCAGAAGGGAGCCAGUAUGCUCCACACCUGUCACACUCGGUUCCAGGGGGUAGAACCGAGCGCAUACCAUAUGUGUGCCAGGAUCCAUUUCCACACAUAUGUUGACGUCACAAGUGUAGUAUAUCAAAAGACAAUGCAAUAAAGGCGUAAAGAGAGUAGAGUACUUUAUUACAUCAUCUGAAACAUUGUAUCUUUAACAAGUAUCACAUCAAAGUAAAGCGGAAAUAAACAACUAGGCAAUCUCCCACAGGAAGAUGACCGGCGCAUCGUUAGACUUAGAAUUCAUCGUCGUCGAUAAAAUCUCCAUCAAAGUCUCCAGCAUCACCCUCUGAUCAAAAUAUUAGCAAGGGUGAGCUCACUUAUGGUCGGGGCUCAGCAAGUGGGGGAAAAACUAAUGCAGGUAUAACAAGGUGAGGCUAAGGUUGAGCAGUAAGCAUUUUAGUUGGUCAAUAUUUUAUUAACAACACCUGUCUUACUAAUAAGUGUGAAUCCCAAAUAUCCCACUUAAACAAAGGAAUAUGAAUAUAACAAAAACACUUAAGUGAAACCACUUAAGCAAAUUAUUGGCAGAUCAUCGGAUCUCAAUUUAAUUCCAUCUUCAAGUUCAAUUAUCAUGUGAGGAGUCCAGGUCGCUCAUAACCGGGAGCACGGCUGAUAUAUCAGUUUUACACUCUGCAGAGGUGGUACAACUUUACCCACAAGCCAUGUAUCCCAUCUAGCCCGGGUUGAUCAGACCCUUAAACACUGCCGAGGUGAAUGGCUAGGGAUCCAUUAUGAGGCUUUCACAAAAUACCUUAAUACGAAGCAACCCACUAAGGUUUCUAAAGACGAUGGUGGUGGCCCCCUGGGUGAAGUACCUUAGCCAAGAAUACGACCCCAUGUUAACGUGGGCUGCCAGCACCUACCGCUCCCCCUCUUGCCCAUAUUUCAGGUAAGGUUGCUAGGCACUAAGCAUAUAGAGCUAAUUACCAAAGCCAGAGCCAUGAUAGCACUCGUGGUUGUACUGUUAUCCUGGGUGGUCACUCCAUGUUCCAAUUAAUUUGUAAUAAAGUUAUCUUAACCAUCGGGUUAAUGUCAUAAUUGCCAAUUAAAUUCUUGGAACAUUAAUACCAAUUAAUGAGUGACAUUAAAAUCGUUAAGUUGAGCGGUAGCACAAAUUUUGCACAGCUUAAUAAUUUUCCCAGGUUAAACAAGGAAUACAGGUAGUAAAUCUAGAAAAUCCUUAAUUAGGUAAACCCAUCAAAUUAUGCAAUAUAUCAAAAAGUAAACAUUAUUAUAUGCAAUGAGUGGGUACAAACAGAAUAUGCAGAGGGAGAAUCCACUUGCCUUGCUCAAAAGUAUCAUGUGGUUCGUCUUCGAACGUAUUCGGUUCUUCUACCACACAAUCGGCUUCUAAUAACGUCAUACGUUGUCAUACAAAGAGAAAACAUACAUCAAUAAAUAAACACGCACCAUUCAACAAACAAUGAAACAUACAUUUUACAAAGCGUACAUAUAAAAGGAAAACAUUCAAAAACAAAACUUGAUUUGUAACUAUAGUAAAAAUUUAAUCCUAACUUAAGGUUCGUCAUUAGAAUUAUUGAUUUGCUUCAUCUUUUACGAAAAUCUAAGUGAUAUUUAUAUAACCUAUUAUUACUAUUUAUUUAAAACAAACUAAGUAUAGGUCUAAGGAUAUGUUCAUAAAAAAGAACUAAAAUAGAUAAUAUUACCUUCAAUUUUAUGCAAGAUAUAUAUUUCAUGGGUGAACUACUUUUAAUUUGAAAACAAUAUAUACUCUGAAAUUUUACUUACAAAUUAUAUUAGUUAACUAUUUUUUUGGUUUUUAAAAUACCAAGGCGUAUAAAACAUACUACACUCAUAUGUAUGCAUAGCUUGAAUAAUAAACUAGUCUAUAUUCUAUGAGUAAAUAUACUAAACCGAUAACCAUUCUUUCAAUAUAGGAGUUAAGUUCCGUUUUAAUUUAUUACUUGAAAGCUACACAUUAUUACAAUGUAAUUCAAGUAAGAAUAUGACAAUACUAAACAUUGCUGCAAAUCAAUGAAUUAGAAUACAUAGCGCACUAAUAUGAUGUUAAUAAAACAAUAAUAAACUUAUUUGGAUUAGACUUUAUUGUGAAAGAAUGCAGCAACGAUUAACACAUAUUUAACCGUAGUUUCUAGUGGGUAGCAAAACAGGGUUUUAUUUAAAUACUUUUUGCACUGUAUGAAAUGUAGACGCAAUUUAACAAGAAACCAGAGACCUAAAUACGAGUCUGUCUUCUUCUACCUUGCUGCAACAUGACGAGCUGCAACGUGACGACUGCAACGUGACGAACUGUAGGGGAAAAAUGAAGGGCGUUGAUCGUUCGGGGCACCGGCUACGGCGGCGGAGAAGAACGUCAGCAGGACAAUCGACAGAGGCGCGGCCGAGGGGCUUGUUGGGGCAGUCACCAACGGCGGCAGUCGACCGGGGCGUCCUAGCGUCGGCGAACAGCAGC
rnacentral:lncRNA from 1 species